UACGUAGGGUGCGAGCGUUAAUCGGAAUUACUGGGCGUAAAGCGUGCGCAGGCGGCUAUUUAAGCUUGCUGUGAAAGCCCCGGGCUUAACCUGGGAACUGCAGUGAGGACUGGAUGGCUGGAGUGUGGCAGAGGGGGGUGGAAUUCCACGUGUAGCAGUGAAAUGCGUAGAGAUGUGGAGGAACACCGAUGGCAAAGGCAGCCCCCUGGGCUAACACUGACGCUCAGGCACGAAAGCGUGGGGAGCAAACAGG
rnacentral:rRNA from 1 species